UUAAGCGACUAAGCGUACACGGUGGAUGCCCUGGCAGUCAGAGGCGAUGAAGGACGUGCUAAUCUGCGAAAAGCGUCGGUAAGGUGAUAUGAACCGUUAUAACCGGCGAUGUCCGAAUGGGGAAACCCAGUGCAAUUCGUUGCACUAUCGUUAACUGAAUACAUAGGUUAACGAGGCGAACCGGGGGAACUGAAACAUCUAAGUACCCCGAGGAAAAGAAAUCAACCGAGAUUCCCCCAGUAGCGGCGAGCGAACGGGGAGCAGCCCAGAGUCUGAAUCAGCUUGUGUGUUAGUGGAACGGUCUGGAAAGUCCGACGGUACAGGGUGAUAGUCCCGUACACCAAAAUGCACAGGUUGUGAACUCGAAGAGUAGGGCGGGACACGUGGUAUCCUGUCUGAAUAUGGGGGGACCAUCCUCCAAGGCUAAAUACUCCUGACUGACCGAUAGUGAACCAGUACCGUGAGGGAAAGGCGAAAAGAACCCCGGCGAGGGGAGUGAAAAAGAACCUGAAACCGUGUACGUACAAGCAGUGGGAGCACCUUCGGGUGUGACUGCGUACCUUUUGUAUAAUGGGUCAGCGACUUAUAUUCUGUAGCAAGGUUAACCGUAUAGGGGAGCCGCAGGGAAACCGAGUCUUAACUGGGCGUUAAGUUGCAGGGUAUAGACCCGAAACCCGGUGAUCUAGCCAUGGGCAGGUUGAAGGUUGGGUAACACUAACUGGAGGACCGAACCGACUAAUGUUGAAAAAUUAGCGGAUGACUUGUGGCUGGGGGUGAAAGGCCAAUCAAACCGGGAGAUAGCUGGUUCUCCCCGAAAGCUAUUUAGGUAGCGCCUCGUGAAUUCAUCUUCGGGGGUAGAGCACUGUUUCGGCUAGGGGGUCAUCCCGACUUACCAACCCGAUGCAAACUACGAAUACCGAAGAAUGUUAUCACGGGAGACACACGGCGGGUGCUAACGUCCGUCGUGAAGAGGGAAACAACCCAGACCGCCAGCUAAGGUCCCAAAGUCAUGGUUAAGUGGGAAACGAUGUGGGAAGGCACAGACAGCCAGGAUGUUGGCUUAGAAGCAGCCAUCAUUUAAAGAAAGCGUAAUAGCUCACUGGUCGAGUCGGCCUGCGCGGAAGAUGUAACGGGGCUAAACCAUGCACCGAAGCUGCGGCAGCGACACUAUGUGUUGUUGGGUAGGGGAGCGUUCUGUAAGCCUGCGAAGGUGUGCUGUGAGGCAUGCUGGAGGUAUCAGAAGUGCGAAUGCUGACAUAAGUAACGAUAAAGCGGGUGAAAAGCCCGCUCGCCGGAAGACCAAGGGUUCCUGUCCAACGUUAAUCGGGGCAGGGUGAGUCGACCCCUAAGGCGAGGCCGAAAGGCGUAGUCGAUGGGAAACAGGUUAAUAUUCCUGUACUUGGUGUUACUGCGAAGGGGGGACGGAGAAGGCUAUGUUAGCCGGGCGACGGUUGUCCCGGUUUAAGCAUGUAGGCUGGUUGUCCAGGCAAAUCCGGAUAAUCAAGGCUGAGGUGUGAUGACGAGGCACUACGGUGCUGAAGUAACAAAUGCCCUGCUUCCAGGAAAAGCCUCUAAGCAUCAGGUAACAUCAAAUCGUACCCCAAACCGACACAGGUGGUCAGGUAGAGAAUACCAAGGCGCUUGAGAGAACUCGGGUGAAGGAACUAGGCAAAAUGGUGCCGUAACUUCGGGAGAAGGCACGCUGGUGUGUAGGUGAAGUCCCUGCGGAUGGAGCUGAGACCAGUCGAAGAUACCAGCUGGCUGCAACUGUUUAUUAAAAACACAGCACUGUGCAAACACGAAAGUGGACGUAUACGGUGUGACGCCUGCCCGGUGCCGGAAGGUUAAUUGAUGGGGUUAUCCGUAAGGAGAAGCUCUUGAUCGAAGCCCCGGUAAACGGCGGCCGUAACUAUAACGGUCCUAAGGUAGCGAAAUUCCUUGUCGGGUAAGUUCCGACCUGCACGAAUGGCGUAAUGAUGGCCAGGCUGUCUCCACCCGAGACUCAGUGAAAUUGAACUCGCUGUGAAGAUGCAGUGUACCCGCGGCAAGACGGAAAGACCCCGUGAACCUUUACUAUAGCUUGACACUGAACAUUGAGCCUUGAUGUGUAGGAUAGGUGGGAGGCUUUGAAGCGUGGACGCCAGUCUGCGUGGAGCCAACCUUGAAAUACCACCCUUUAAUGUUUGAUGUUCUAACGUUGGCCCCUGACCGGGGUUGCGGACAGUGUCUGGUGGGUAGUUUGACUGGGGCGGUCUCCUCCCAAAGCGUAACGGAGGAGCACGAAGGUUAGCUAAUCCUGGUCGGACAUCAGGAGGUUAGUGCAAUGGCAUAAGCUAGCUUGACUGCGAGCGUGACGGCGCGAGCAGGUGCGAAAGCAGGUCAUAGUGAUCCGGUGGUUCUGAAUGGAAGGGCCAUCGCUCAACGGAUAAAAGGUACUCCGGGGAUAACAGGCUGAUACCGCCCAAGAGUUCAUAUCGACGGCGGUGUUUGGCACCUCGAUGUCGGCUCAUCACAUCCUGGGGCUGAAGUAGGUCCCAAGGGUAUGGCUGUUCGCCAUUUAAAGUGGUACGCGAGCUGGGUUUAGAACGUCGUGAGACAGUUCGGUCCCUAUCUGCCGUGGGCGCUGGAGAAUUGAGGGGGGCUGCUCCUAGUACGAGAGGACCGGAGUGGACGCAUCACUGGUGUUCGGGUUGUCAUGCCAAUGGCACUGCCCGGUAGCUAAAUGCGGAAGAGAUAAGUGCUGAAAGCAUCUAAGCACGAAACUUGCCCCGAGAUGAGUUCUCCCUGAGACUUUAAGUCUCCUGAAGGAACGUUGAAGACGACGACGUUGAUAGGCCGGGUGUGUAAGCGCAGCGAUGCGUUGAGCUAACCGGUACUAAUGAACCGUGAGGCUUAACCU
rnacentral:rRNA from 1 species